GACGUAGGGCGCGAGCGUUGUCCGGAUUUAUUGGGCGUAAAGAGCUCGUAGGCGGCUUGUCGCGUCGUUCGUGAAAACCUGCAGCUCAACUGCAGGCUUGCGGGCGAUACGGGCAGGCUAGAGUUCGGUAGGGGAGACUGGAAUUCCUGGUGUAGCGGUGAAAUGCGCAGAUAUCAGGAGGAACACCUGCGGCGAAGGCGGGUAGCUGGGCCGACACUGACGCUGAGGCGCGAAAGCCAGGGGAGCGAACGGG
rnacentral:rRNA from 1 species